rnacentral:sRNA from 1 species
GUCCGCAGGUGCGUCGUUUCAAAGGGCUAGAGAGUUCCACUGUUUCAUUGAAACAGUGGAACUCUCUAGGGA